rnacentral:lncRNA from 1 species
AAGGGAAUACGGGCAGGACAUUGAGAAUGCCAGGUUGAUCACAGCGUUGGCCGGAUGCGCAUGCCAGCAGGGCCUAGACGUCGGAUGGGACGAUUCCAGAAUGAUAAAGCGCUUGGAGAGCCCAGAGAAUUUGCCGGUCGCAGAGACGGUGCGGAUACGCAGGGGCGGACGGGGUGUCUUUGUGGUUGGUGAUGGACGGACGGGCUCGUUGCGGGGGCCAUGGGAGUGCCUCUUGAACGGCCCCAACACCCAUGACUGGGCCCCUGUGGCGCGGGGGCAGUGUGACACAUUUGUGGUGGGCUCCCUUUAAGCAUUGUGGGACUGUGACUCUUCUGUGGCCGUCCAGCACGGAGUUGGGGGA